GACGGAGGGUGCAAACGUUGUUCGGAAUUACUGGGCGUAAAGCGCGUGUAGGCUGCUCAGAAAGUCGGAUGUGAAAGCCCUGGGCUUAACCUAGGAAGUGCAUUCGAAACUUCUGAGCUUGAGUUCUGGAGAGGAAGGCGGAACUCUCGGUGUAGAGGUGAAAUUCGUAGAUAUCGAGAGGAACACCGGUGGCGAAGGCGGCCUUCUGGACAGUGACUGACGCUGAGACGCGAAAGCGUGGGGAGCAAACAGG
rnacentral:rRNA from 1 species